rnacentral:misc_RNA from 1 species
GAUGAAGAACGCAGCGAAAUGCGAUAAGUAAUGUGAAUUGCAGAAUUCCGUGAAUCAUCGAAUCUUUGAACGCAUAUUGCGCCCUCUGGCAUUCCGGAGGGCAUGCCUGUCCGAGCGUCAUUACGCCCCUCAAGUCCCCUGUGGACUUGGUGUUGGGGAUCGGCGAGGCUGGUUUUCCAGCACAGCCGUCCCUUAAAUUAAUUGGCGGUCUCGCCGUGGCCCUCCUCUGCGCAGUAGUAAAACACUCGCAACAGGAGCCCGGCGCGGUCCACUGCCGUAAAACCCCCCAACUUUUUAUAGUUGACCUCGAAUCAGGUAGGACUACCCGCUGAACUUAAGCAUAUCAAUAAGCGGAGGA